rnacentral:rRNA from 1 species
UACGGGGGGAGCAAGCGUUGUUCGGAUUUACUGGGCGUAAAGGGCGCGUAGGCGGCUUAACAAGUCACUUGUGAAAUCUCCGGGCUUAACUCGGAACGGCCAAGUGAAACUGUCAAGCUAGAGUGCAGAAGGGGCAAUCGGAAUUCUUGGUGUAGCGGUGAAAUGCGUGGAUAUCGUGAGGAACACUAGUGGCGAAGGCGGAUGUCUGGACAGUAUCUGACGCUGAGGCACGAAGGCCAGGGGAGCGAACGGG